rnacentral:rRNA from 1 species
AGUGAACGCUGGCGGCAGGCCUAACACAUGCAAGUCGAGCGGCAGCGGGUUCCCGCGAGGGGAUGCCGGCGAGCGGCGGACGGGUGAGGAACACAUCGGAAUCUGCCUGGUUGUGGGGGAUAACGUAGGGAAACUUACGCUAAUACCGCAUGAGACCCUGAGUCGACGGACUGGGGGGUGAAAGUGAGGGACCUUCGGGCCUCACGCGACCAGAUGAGCCGAUGUCGGAUUAGCUAGUUGGCGGGGUAACGGCCCGCCAAGGCGACGAUCCGUAGCUGGUCUGAGAGGAUGAUCAGCCACACUGGGACUGAGACACGGCCCAGACUCCUACGGGAGGCAGCAGUGGGGAAUCUUGGACAAUGGGCGCAAGCCU